rnacentral:rRNA from 1 species
AUGGGGUUUAGUGCAUAUCAAAAGAUAUCGGCGGCAAUGCGGGUACUCGCUUAUGGCAUACCCGCGGAUUAUACUAACGAGUAUCUUCGCAUUAGGCAAGAUACAACCACGGAGUCAGCCCGUCGGUUUGCCAAGUUGGUCAUCCGGUUGUACGGUGAGCAGUAUCUUCGGGCACCAAACGAGGAAGAUACAAAGAGAUUAAUGGAAAUGAAUGAAAAAGGGGGAUGGCCGGGGAUGCUAGGUAGUCUUGAUUUCAUGCAUUGGAGGUGA